AUACGUAGGGAGCGAGCGUUGUCCGGAAUUACUGGGCGUAAAGGGCGCGUAGGCGGCGCUUCAAGUCGUCUGUCAAAUGGGAGGGCUUAACCCUUUUUCGCAGACGAAACUGGAGAGCUUGAGAAGCAGAGAGGCAAACAGAAUUCCUGGUGUAGCGGUGAAAUGCGUAGAUAUCAGGAAGAAUACCAGUGGCGAAGGCGGUUUGCUGGCUGCAUACUGACGCUGAAGCGCGAAAGCCAGGGGAGCGAACGGGAUUAGAUACCCCGGUAGUCCUGGCAGUAAACGAUGUAUGCUGGGUGUGAGACUAGCGAUAGUUUCGUGCCGAAGUUAACGCGAUAAGCAUACCGCCUGGGGAGUACGGCCGCAAGAUUGAAACUCAAAUGAAUUGACGGGG
rnacentral:rRNA from 1 species